UUAAGCGACUAAGCGUACACGGUGGAUGCCCUGGCAGUCAGAGGCGAUGAAGGGCGUGCUAAUCUGCGAUAAGCGCCGGUAAGGUGAUAUGAACCGUUAUAACCGGCGAUACCCGAAUGGGGAAACCCAGUGUGAUUCGUCACACUAUCAUUAACUGAAUCCAUAGGUUAAUGAGGCGAACCGGGGGAACUGAAACAUCUAAGUACCCCGAGGAAAAGAAAUCAACCGAGAUUCCCCCAGUAGCGGCGAGCGAACGGGGAGGAGCCCAGAGCCUGAAUCAGCAUGUGUGUUAGUGGAAGCGUCUGGAAAGGCGCGCGAUACAGGGUGACAGCCCCGUACACAAAAGCGCAUGUGCUGUGAGCUCGAUGAGUAGGGCGGGACACGUGGUAUCCUGUCUGAAUAUGGGGGACCAUCCUCCAAGGCUAAAUACUCCUGACUGACCGAUAGUGAACCAGUACCGUGAGGGAAAGGCGAAAAGAACCCCGGCGAGGGGAGUGAAAAAGAACCUGAAACCGUGUACGUACAAGCAGUGGGAGCCCCACCACUAAGCCAGUGGUGAACUCCACAUCCGCAUCCUUUGCUGAGGAUACGGUUAACGGAGCGAAAGCGACGUUCAACCGCAAAACAAGCAGAGGGGGCUUAGUGGUGGGGUGACUGCGUACCUUUUGUAUAAUGGGUCAGCGACUUAUAUUCUGUAGCAAGGUUAACCGAAUAGGGGAGCCGGAGGGAAACCGAGUCUUAAUUGGGCGUUAAGUUGCAGGGUAUAGACCCGAAACCCGGUGAUCUAGCCAUGGGCAGGUUGAAGGUUGGGUAACACUAACUGGAGGACCGAACCGACUAAUGUUGAAAAAUUAGCGGAUGACCUGUGGCUGGGGGUGAAAGGCCAAUCAAACCGGGAGAUAGCUGGUUCUCCCCGAAAGCUAUUUAGGUAGCGCCUCGUGAAUUCAUCUCCGGGGGUAGAGCACUGUUUCGGCUAGGGGGCCAUCCCGGCUUACCAACCCGAUGCAAACUGCGAAUACCGGAGAAUGUUAUCACGGGAGACACACGGCGGGUGCUAACGUCCGUCGUGAAGAGGGAAACAACCCAGACCGCCAGCUAAGGUCCCAAAGUCAUGGUUAAGUGGGAAACGAUGUGGGAAGGCCCAGACAGCCAGGAUGUUGGCUUAGAAGCAGCCAUCAUUUAAAGAAAGCGUAAUAGCUCACUGGUCGAGUCGGCCUGCGCGGAAGAUGUAACGGGGCUAAACCAUGCACCGAAGCUGCGGCAGCGAACGUAUCACCCAAGACAACUUUACGGAGUUGACGAUUGACGGAGCGAAGCGACGUCAAAGCGUUCAUUAAAGUCGAGUUGGCUUAGGGAUACGUUCGUUGGGUAGGGGAGCGUUCUGUAAGCCUGUGAAGGUGUGUCGUGAGGCAUGCUGGAGGUAUCAGAAGUGCGAAUGCUGACAUAAGUAACGAUAAAGCGGGUGAAAAGCCCGCUCGCCGGAAGACCAAGGGUUCCUGUCCAACGUUAAUCGGGGCAGGGUGAGUCGACCCCUAAGGCGAGGCCGAAAGGCGUAGUCGAUGGGAAACGGGUUAAUAUUCCCGUACUUGGUGUUACUGCGAAGGGGGGACGGAGAAGGCUAUGUUGGCCGGGCGACGGUUGUCCCGGUUUAAGCGUGUAGGUGUGUGUUCCAGGUAAAUCCGGUUCACUUUAACACUGAGGCGUGACGACGAGGCACUACGGUGCUGAAGCAACAAAUGCCCUGCUUCCAGGAAAAGCCUCUAAGCAUCAGGUAACACGAAAUCGUACCCCAAACCGACACAGGUGGUCAGGUAGAGAAUACCAAGGCGCUUGAGAGAACUCGGGUGAAGGAACUAGGCAAAAUGGUGCCGUAACUUCGGGAGAAGGCACGCUGACACGUAGGUGAAGUGAUUUACUCAUGGAGCUGAAGUCAGUCGAAGAUACCAGCUGGCUGCAACUGUUUAUUAAAAACACAGCACUGUGCAAACACGAAAGUGGACGUAUACGGUGUGACGCCUGCCCGGUGCCGGAAGGUUAAUUGAUGGGGUCAGCGCAAGCGAAGCUCCUGAUCGAAGCCCCGGUAAACGGCGGCCGUAACUAUAACGGUCCUAAGGUAGCGAAAUUCCUUGUCGGGUAAGUUCCGACCUGCACGAAUGGCGUAAUGAUGGCCAGGCUGUCUCCACCCGAGACUCAGUGAAAUUGAACUCGCUGUGAAGAUGCAGUGUACCCGCGGCAAGACGGAAAGACCCCGUGAACCUUUACUAUAGCUUGACACUGAACAUUGAGCCUUGAUGUGUAGGAUAGGUGGGAGGCUUUGAAGUGUGGACGCCAGUCUGCAUGGAGCCGACCUUGAAAUACCACCCUUUAAUGUUUGAUGUUCUAACGUGGACCCGUAAUCCGGGUUGCGGACAGUGUCUGGUGGGUAGUUUGACUGGGGCGGUCUCCUCCUAAAGAGUAACGGAGGAGCACGAAGGUUGGCUAAUCCUGGUCGGACAUCAGGAGGUUAGUGCAAUGGCAUAAGCCAGCUUGACUGCGAGCGUGACGGCGCGAGCAGGUGCGAAAGCAGGUCAUAGUGAUCCGGUGGUUCUGAAUGGAAGGGCCAUCGCUCAACGGAUAAAAGGUACUCCGGGGAUAACAGGCUGAUACCGCCCAAGAGUUCAUAUCGACGGCGGUGUUUGGCACCUCGAUGUCGGCUCAUCACAUCCUGGGGCUGAAGUAGGUCCCAAGGGUAUGGCUGUUCGCCAUUUAAAGUGGUACGCGAGCUGGGUUUAGAACGUCGUGAGACAGUUCGGUCCCUAUCUGCCGUGGGCGCUGGAGAACUGAGGGGGGCUGCUCCUAGUACGAGAGGACCGGAGUGGACGCAUCACUGGUGUUCGGGUUGUCAUGCCAAUGGCACUGCCCGGUAGCUAAAUGCGGAAGAGAUAAGUGCUGAAAGCAUCUAAGCACGAAACUUGCCCCGAGAUGAGUUCUCCCUGAGACUUUAGGUCUCCUGAAGGAACGUUGAAGACGACGACGUUGAUAGGCCGGGUGUGUAAGCGCAGCGAUGCGUUGAGCUAACCGGUACUAAUGAACCGUGAGGCUUAACCU
rnacentral:rRNA from 1 species